GAUGAACGCUGGCGGCGUGCUUAACACAUGCAAGUCGAACGAUGAAAGCGGGAGCUUGCUCCUGCUGGAUUAGUGGCGAACGGGUGAGUAACACGUGAGCAAUCUGCCCCGAACUCUGGGAUAAGCGUUGGAAACGACGUCUAAUACCGGAUACGACGCGCGAAGGCAUCUUCUGCGCGUGGAAAGAAUUUCGGUUCGGGAUGAGCUCGCGGCCUAUCAGCUAGUUGGUGAGGUAACGGCUCACCAAGGCGACGACGGGUAGCCGGCCUGAGAGGGUGACCGGCCACACGGGGACUGAGACACGGCCCAGACUCCUACGGGAGGCAGCAGUGGGGAAUAUUGCACAAUGGGCGAAAGCCUGAUGCAGCAACGCCGCGUGAGGGACGACGGCCUUCGGGUUGUAAACCGCUUUUAGUAAGGAAGAAGGGGAGCUUGCUCCUUGACGGUACUUGCAGAAAAAGGACCGGCUAACUACGUGCCAGCCGCCGCGGUAAAAC
rnacentral:rRNA from 1 species